AUUGAACGCUGGCGGCAGGCCUAACACAUGCAAGUCGAACGGUAACAGGUAGAAGCUUGCUUCUUUGCUGACGAGUGGCGGACGGGUGAGUAAUGUGUGGGAAACUGCCUGAGGGAGGGGGAUAACUACUGGAAACGGUCGCUAAUAACGCAUAAUGUCGCAAGACCAAAGAUGGGGACCGUCGGGCCACUUGGCAUCGGAUGGGCCCAGAUGGGAUUAGCUAGUAGGUGGGGUAACGGCUGACCUAGGCGACGAUCCCUAGCUGGACUGAGAGGAUGACCAGCCACACUGGAACUGAGACACGGUCCAGACUCCUACGGGAGGCAGCAGUGGGGAAUAUUGCACAAUGGGCGCAAGCCUGAUGCAGCUAUGCCGCGUGUAUGAAGAAGGCCUUCGGGUUGUAAAGUACUUUCAGCGGGGAGGAAGGGAGUAGAGUUUAUACCUUUGCUCAUUGACGUUACCCGCAGAAGAAGCACCGGCUAACUCCGUG
rnacentral:rRNA from 1 species